rnacentral:rRNA from 1 species
UUAAAUGCUCCAUGUUGAAUUCCCUGGUUCUCAUCCAAUCACAGAAGUUGAGCAGCAUUGAGCCUUAGAUGGUACUUAGAUGGGUGACCACUUGGGAAACCUAGGUGCCGUAAGCA